AUUGAACGCUGGCGGCAGGCCUAACACAUGCAAGUCGAGCGGUAGAGAGAAGCUUGCUUCUCUUGAGAGCGGCGGACGGGUGAGUAAUGCCUAGGAAUCUGCCUGGUAGUGGGGGAUAACGUUCGGAAACGGACGCUAAUACCGCAUACGUCCUACGGGAGAAAGCAGGGGACCUUCGGGCCUUGCGCUAUCAGAUGAGCCUAGGUCGGAUUAGCUAGUUGGUGAGGUAAUGGCUCACCAAGGCGACGAUCCGUAACUGGUCUGAGAGGAUGAUCAGUCACACUGGAACUGAGACACAGUCCAGACUCCUACGGGAGGCAGCAGUGGGGAAUAUUGGACAAUGGGCGAAAGCCUGAUCCAGCCAUGCCGCGUGUGUGAAGAAGGUCUUCGGAUUGUAAAGCACUUUAAGUUGGGAGGAAGGGUUGUAGAUUAAUACUCUGCAAUUUUGACGUUACCGACAGAAUAAGCACCGGCUAACUCUGUGCCAGCAGCCGCGGUAAUACAGAGGGUGCAAGCGUUAAUCGGAAUUACUGGGCGUAAAGCGCGCGUAGGUGGUUUGUUAAGUUGGAUGUGAAAUCCCCGGGCUCAACCUGGGAACUGCAUUCAAAACUGACUGACUAGAGUAUGGUAGAGGGUGGUGGAAUUUCCUGUGUAGCGGUGAAAUGCGUAGAUAUAGGAAGGAACACCAGUGGCGAAGGCGACCACCUGGACUAAUACUGACACUGAGGUGCGAAAGCGUGGGGAGCAAACAGG
rnacentral:rRNA from 1 species